UCCGCUCUCUUCUCGCUGCUGCAGCCGGCGAAACAACAAGCAGAACUCCGAAGCAGCAACAACAACUCCGACUCCGGCAGCAACUUUGACCAAGCGAGCUCCGGCGAAGUCCGAAAUUUGGAUCGAUGAAAGACGGAUCUGUUGAGAUCCGUCUCCGGUAUUUUCUUGGUAUGGCUUGUUGUUUGAAUGGCAAAAUUCGUUCAUGAGUUGUAUGCAUAAAGUCUUGGAUUGAUAGCUUAUUGAGCAUGCACCUGAUUCAAUUUGAGUUUCAUUUGGGAGGUUCAUCGAUUCACUUCAAAAAAUGUUUUCAAAAUCCGGCUGUUAUUAGCUGUUUUUGCUUGCUCACUGAUAUCUGUAUACUUCCAGUAUCUUCAGACCCUAAUGGAUCUUUACAUUUUAUUUAUUUGAAAUUAGAAUCAAAAUAAUUCGAAUGUAGACUGUCUUGAUAAUUUUGCUCAUAAUUGAUUGAUUUUCUCCUUAUUCAAUGUGGGUAAGUUUGGUAAUGUAGGAUUAUUUUAAUACUGAUUAUUCCACUUUUCUUGUCAAUAUACACUUAUGGAUCUGAUUCUUGUAUAGUAUAUCAUAUGUGGACAGUGCUUCUAUUGAUAUCAUUUCCUUAAUUAUGUAUUAUUAUUCCUUGAACAGUGUAAAGUCAAUUCUUGCUUUUCCUUAUAUGGACCGGCUUAAUUUUAUAAUAUUGUUGUUUAUAUGAUCUCUCCUCCUUAUUUAAGGUAAAUUGAUUUGGUGAUUGCAUGAAUGACUCUUACUAGUCUAUUUGAUUUUUAUUUAUUUUUUAUUUUAAAUUGGAAAAUCUCUCACUAGUUCUAUUUUGAUAAUUAUAGGAUUAUGUUACUGAAUUAGCUCCCUUUUUAAUAAGGAAUUUUUUUUUAAUUAAAACAUUUCUUUCCCUUAUUUGUGCCCUCCCCUGCACUUUAUAAAGAGACUCUCUUCUUAUUUUAUAGAUAGGCUUUAGCCAUUAGAAAAAGGGUAGGACAUUGUUCUCACAUUCUGACAUUGACGAAAAAAAAAAAAAAACCUUACUCUUGAAUACUUUAAAAAUACUACUCUCUAUUGUUAAAGAAUUAAGAUUCCGGUGAAUAUUCUAAGUGCUUUCUUACUCGGUUUUACUGUGUUUGGGUCUAGUAUCGAAUUAAAUUGGGUCUUCAUUGCUGAUAAACUUUCUGCAUAAUCGGUUAGUUCUACUUCAUUAGUUUAAUUUUUGCCUUGCAUCCGUUACUUUUGUGUAUGAAUAAAUAAAAGGGAAACAUCCGGGUUAGUCCACCUCAUUAGUGUAAUUUGGUUUUGCAUUGAUUAUAUGUUUGAAAAUAAAUAAAAGGGAAACAUCCGGGUUAGUCCUCCUCAUUAGUGUACUUUGAUUUUGCAUUGAUUAUAUGUUUGAAAAUAAAUAAAAAGGAAGCAUCCGAGUUAGCUCUCUUAUCCUUCAUUCCGAUGUGUGAUUUUAUGUGAUUUGGUGAAGUUCGUACGUUUGCUGGAAUAACUUUUUUAUGUUUUAUCUAUCAGUUGUUAUCAUGCUAUAAUCUCGUGUUGGAUGUUAUUCUGUUAAACAGGUUUCGAACUUGAAGUUCAAGUUGAAGAGUUGCCAUGAGACGAGAUUAUUUAAUGUCUGUGUUUUUCGUAUUUAUUAUUUUGGCUCUGUAAUAAUUUUAUUGUGUAACUCAAACUCUAUAUAUAAUAUAUAUUUGGGGAUCGGCUAAGGGG
rnacentral:lncRNA from 1 species